GAUGAACGCUGGCGGCGUGCCUAAUACAUGCAAGUCGAGCGAACGGAUUGAGAGCUUGCUCUCAAGAAGUUAGCGGCGGACGGGUGAGUAACACGUGGGUAACCUGCCCAUAAGACUGGGAUAACUCCGGGAAACCGGGGCUAAUACCGGAUAAUAUUUUGAACUGCAUGGUUCGAAAUUGAAAGGCGGCUUCGGCUGUCACUUAUGGAUGGACCCGCGUCGCAUUAGCUAGUUGGUGAGGUAACGGCUCACCAAGGCAACGAUGCGUAGCCGACCUGAGAGGGUGAUCGGCCACACUGGGACUGAGACACGGCCCAGACUCCUACGGGAGGCAGCAGUAGGGAAUCUUCCGCAAUGGACGAAAGUCUGACGGAGCAACGCCGCGUGAGUGAUGAAGGCUUUCGGGUCGUAAAACUCUGUUGUUAGGGAAGAACAAGUGCUAGUUGAAUAAGCUGGCACCUUGACGGUACCUAACCAGAAAGCCACGGCUAACUACGUGCCAGCCGCCGCAGUAAGAC
rnacentral:rRNA from 1 species